UACGUAGGGUGCAAGCGUUAAUCGGAAUUACUGGGCGUAAAGCGUGCGCAGGCGGUUGUGCAAGACCCGAUGUGAAAUCCCCGGGCUUAACCUGGGAAUGGCAUUGGUGACUGCACGGCUAGAGCGUGUCAGAGGGGGGUAGAAUUCCACGUGUAGCAGUGAAAUGCGUAGAGAUGUGGACGGAAUACCGAUGGCGAAGGCAGCCCCUGGGAUAACACUGACGCUCAUGCACGAAAGCGUGGGGAGCAAACAGG
rnacentral:rRNA from 1 species